rnacentral:rRNA from 1 species
GACGAACGCUGGCGGCGUGCUUAACACAUGCAAGUCGAGCGGUAAGGCCCUUUCGGGGGGUACACGAGCGGCGAACGGGUGAGUAACACGUGGGUGACCUGCCCUCAGCUCUGGGAUAAGCCUGGGGAAACCGGGUCUAAUACCGGAUAUGACUCCAUGACGCAUGUUGUGGGGUGGAAAGCCUUGUGCGGCUGAGGAUGGGCCCGCGGCCUAUCAGCUUGUUGGUGGGGNGAUGGCCUACAAGGCGACGACGGGUAGCCGGCCUGAGAGGGCGACCGGCCACACUGGGACUGAGACACGGCCCAGACUCCUACGGGAGGCAGCAGUGGGGAAU